rnacentral:rRNA from 1 species
AUAUCAAUAAGCGGAGGAAAAGAAACCAACAGGGAUUGCCCUAGUAACGGCGAGUGAAGCGGCAACAGCUCAAAUUUGAAAUCUGGCCCUCGGGUCCGAGUUGUAAUUUGUAGAGGAUGCUUUUGGUGCGGUGCCUUCCGAGUUCCCUGGAACGGGACGCCAUAGAGGGUGAGAGCCCCGUCUGGUUGGACGCCAAGCCUCUGUAAAGCUCCUUCGACGAGUCGAGUAGUUUGGGAAUGCUGCUCUAAAUGGGAGGUAUAUGUCUUCUAAAGCUAAAUAUUGGCCAGAGACCGAUAGCGCACAAGUAGAGUGAUCGAAAGAUGAAAAGCACUUUGAAAAGAGAGUUAAAAAGCACGUGAAAUUGUUGAAAGGGAAGCGCUUAUGACCAGACUUGGGCUUGGUUGAUCAUCCGGCGUUCUCGCCGGUGCACUCUUCCGGUCCAGGCCAGCAUCAGUUUGCUCCGGGGGAUAAAGGCUUUGGGAAUGUGGCUCCCUCGGGAGUGUUAUAGCCCAUUGUGCAAUACCCUGGAGCGGACUGAGGUACGCGUUCUGCAAGGAUGCUGGCGUAAUGGUCAUCAGUGACCCGUCUUGAAACACGGACCAAGGAGUCGUCUUCGUAUGCGAGUGUUCGGGUGUUAAACCCCUACGCGUAAUGAAAGUGAACGCAGGUGAGAGCUUCGGCGCAUCAUCGACCGAUCCUGAUGUUCUCGGAUGGAUUUGAGUAAGAGCAUACGGGGCCGGACCCGAAAGAAGGUGAACUAUGCCUGUGUAGGGUGAAGCCAGAGGAAACUCUGGUGGAGGCUCGCAGCGGUUCUGACGUGCAAAUCGAUCGUCAAACAUGGGCAUGGGGGCGAAAGACUAAUCGAACCUUCUAGUAGCUGGUUUCCGC